AAGCUUGAGUCUCGUAGAGGGGGGUAGAAUUCCAGGUGUAGCGGUGAAAUGCGUAGAGAUCUGGAGGAAUACCGGUGGCGAAGGCGGCCCCCUGGACGAAGACUGACGCUCAGGUGCGAAAGCGUGGGGAGCAAACAGGAUUAGAUACCCUGGUAGUCCACGCCGUAAACGAUGUCGACUUGGAGGUUGUGCCCUUGAGGCGUGGCUUCCGGAGCUAACGCGUUAAGUCGACCGCCUGGGGAGUACGGCCGCAAGGUUAAAACUCAAAUGAAUUGACGGGGGCCCGCACAAGCGGUGGAGCAUGUGGUUUAAUUCGAUGCAACGCGAAGAACCUUACCUGGUCUUGACAUCCACGGAAGUUUUCAGAGAUGAGAAUGUGCCUUCGGGAACCGUGAGACAGGUGCUGCAUGGCUGUCGUCAGCUCGUGUUGUGAAAUGUUGGGUUAAGUCCCGCAACGAGCGCAACCCUUAUCCUUUGUUGCCAGCGGUCCGGCCGGGAACUCAAAGGAGACUGCCAGUGAUAAACUGGAGGAAGGUGGGGACGACGUCAAGUCAUCAUGGCCCUUACGACCAGGGCUACACACGUGCUACAAUGGCGCAUACAAAGAGAAGCGACCUCGCGAGAGCAAGCGGACCUCAUAAAGUGCGUCGUAGUCCGGAUUGGAGUCUGCAACUCGACUCCAUGAAGUCGGAAUCGCUAGUAAUCGUGGAUCAGAAUGCCACGGUGAAUACGUUCCCGGGCCUUGUACACACCGCCCGUCACACCAUGGGAGUGGGUUGCAAAAGAAGUAGGUAGCUUAACCUUCGGGAGGGCGCUUACCACUUUGUGAUUCAUGACUGGGGUGAAGUCGUAACAAGGUAACCGUAGGGGAACCUGCGGUUGGAUCACCUCCUUACCUUAAAGAAGC
rnacentral:rRNA from 1 species